CCUGCCUAUUGGGGGUCUUCUAAAGGAUGUUUGACUUUCUUACUCAUUUGCUACUGGAGUGGAGAUGGAUUUGGUCACCUCCGAGAGCAAUGCCAACAUGAACGCAUGAAAAAGCAGACAAGGGAAAGCCAGUGGGCAUCAAGCUUGUGUGUGCGUGUGUGACAGAGGAACCAGAGCAUGAAGGCAAUAUGGGAAAGAAACAAGAAUCCAGAGCUUUGUGUCCAGCCAUGAUUGAGUAACUGCAGAACCACAAACUAAGCUUCCAUCUAUUGCAAAUCCUGUUCCUGUUUUAAUUUCAUCUAUGUGAACUGUAAACUUUCUGUAACUCCUGAAUCUGUUUUUACAACCCUAAAUAGAUGGCUGAAAUUACUUUCAGUUGGGUUAUAGAAAAAAGUGUCUAGUAGUACACAUGUACAGGAUGGGAAAAAAUAUCCAAAAAGGGAAGAAAAGUUAAUAUAAAUAUCUGAUUAAGUAGUUGCUGAGUAUCUCACUUUCAUU